rnacentral:rRNA from 1 species
CCGCGGUAAUACGGGAGUGGCAAGCGUUAUCCGAAUAUUGGGCGUAAAGCGUCGCAGGCGCUUUUUCAAGUCUGCUGUUAAAGCGUGGAGCUUAACUCCAUCAUGGCAGUGGAAACUGAAAGGCUUGAGUAUGGUAGGGGCAGAGGGAAUUCCCGGUGUAGCGGUGAAAUGCGUAGAUAUCGGGAAGAACACCAGUGGCGAAGGCGCUCUGCUGGGCCAUUACUGACGCUCAUGGACGAAAGCCAGGGGAGCGAAAGGGAUUAGAUACCCCUGUAGUCCUGGCCGUAAACGAUGAACACUAGGUGUCGGGGGAAUCGACCCCUUCGGUGUCGUAGCUAACGCGUUAAGUGUUCCGCCUGGGGAGUACGCACGCAAGUGUGAAACUCAAAGGAAUUGACGGGGGCCCGCACAAGCGGUGGAGUAUGUGGUUUAAUUCGAUGCAACGCGAAGAACCUUACCAGGGUUUGACAUCCUGCGAACCUCUUAGAAAUUUGAGGGUGCCUUCGGGAAUGCAGUGACAGGUGGUGCAUGGCUGUCGUCAGCUCGUGUCGUGAGAUGUUGGGUUAAGUCCCGCAACGAGCGCAACCCACGUUUUUAGUUGCCAGCAUUUAGUUGGGCACUCUAGAAAGACCGCCGGUGAUAAACCGGAGGAAGGUGUGGAUGACGUCAAGUCAUCAUGCCCCUUACACCCUGGGCUACACACGUACUACAAUGCUACGGACAAAGGGCAGCAAACUCGCGAGAGCUAGCAAAUCCCAUAAACCGUGGCUCAGUUCAGAUCGUAGGCUGCAACUCGCCUACGUGAAGGAGGAAUCGCUAGUAAUCGCAGGUCAGCAUACUGCGGUGAAUACGUUCCCGGGCCUUGUACACACCGCCCGUCACACCAUGGAAGUUGGCCAUGCCCGAAGUCGUUACUCCAACCCUGUGGAGGA